rnacentral:rRNA from 1 species
CGUGGGAAUCUACCCUGGUGUGGGGAACAACUCUCUGAAAGGAGAGCUAAUACCGCAUAAUCCCAGAGAUGGGGAAAGCCAGAAAUGGCGCACAAGGAUGAGCCUGCGGCUGAUUAGCUAGUUGGUGUGGUAAAAGCAUACCAAGGCGAUGAUCAGUAGCUGGUCUGAGAGGACGGCCAGCCACACUGGGACUGCGAUACGGCCCAG